rnacentral:misc_RNA from 1 species
GAUGAAAGAACGUAGUGAAAUGCGAUAAGUAAUGUGAAUUGCAGAAUUCAGUGAAUCAUCGAAUCUUUGAACGCACAUUGCGCUCCCUGGUAUUCCGGGGAGCAUGCCUGUUCGAGCGUCAUUACAACCCUCAAGCUCUGCUUGGUGUUGGGCCCCGCCGCCCCGGCGGGCCCUAAAGUCAGUGGCGGUGCCGUCCGGCUCCGAGCGUAGUAAUUUUUCUCGCUUUGGAGGCCCGGGCGCGUGCUUGCCAUCAACCCCCAAUUUUUUUCAGGUUGACCUCGGAUCAGGUAGGGAUACCCGCUGAACUUAAGCAUAUCAAUAAGCGGAGGA